AGAGGACAGGCUGCCUCCACUCAAAGUACCGACUGAGUGUGACGAAUCUGGUGACAGAGACAGACCACAUCAGCAGCUGUUAGAACGGCACCACGGAAUUCCUGGUCCCGGAUCUCUGGAUUGGAAUAGGCUACUUGAAGCCCCGCUGAAGCAAGACAUUCUGUGCCGGCGACAGGAGAAACACGGAGCGGACUCCAGGCUGGACUGGACUCGGGUAUUGUUUCACCCUGGGACAGAACAUUAGACAAUCCAUGGUUUUAUUGUCUCCGGGUUUUUUUGAGGCAAUGUCAUUUUAAUAUUGUCAUUUUAAACUUUAACUUUUAAAAUAAUAUACUAUUUUUAUACAUUUCGUGUGUCUUUCUCGCUGUGUUGGUGUGGCCAGGAAUCCGAAUUUAGCUUUAUUUAAAAUUAACAAACAAACCAAUCUGUUACAGAGCUCUCUACAGCAAGGAUUAA